CGCGGCCUAUCAGCUUGUUGGUGGGGUAAUGGCCUACCAAGGCGACGACGGGUAGCCGGCCUGAGAGGGCGACCGGCCACACUGGGACUGAGACACGGCCCAGACUCCUACGGGAGGCAGCAGCGGGGAAUAUUGCACAAUGGGCGAAAGCCUGAUGCAGCGACGCCGCGUGAGGGAUGACGGCCUUCGGGUUGUAAACCUCUUUCAGCAGGGACGAAGCGUAAGUGACGGUACCUGCAGAAGAAGCGCCGGCCAACUACGUGCCAGCAGCCGCGGUAAGACGUAGGGCGCGAGCGUUGUCCGGAUUUAUUGGGCGUAAAGAGCUCGUAGGCGGCUUGUCGCGUCGACUGUGAAAACCCGCAGCUCAACUGCGGGCCUGCAGUCGAUACGGGCAGGCUAGAGUUCGGUAGGGGAGACUGGAAUUCCUGGUGUAGCGGUGGAAUGCGCAGAUAUCAGGAGGAACACCGGUGGCGAAGGCGGGUCUCUGGGCCGAUACUGACGCUGAGGAGCGAAAGCGUGGGGAGCGAACAGGAUUAGAUACCCUGGUAGUCCACGCUGUAAACGUUGGGCGCUAGGUGUGGGGGACCUCUCCGGUUCUCUGUGCCGCAGCUAACGCAUUAAGCGCCCCGCCUGGGGAGUACGG
rnacentral:rRNA from 1 species